rnacentral:rRNA from 1 species
CUCAGGACGAACGCUGGCGGCGUGCCUAACACAUGCAAGUCGAACGGAGUGAUCAUAGCUUGCUAAGAUCACUUAGUGGCGGACGGGUGAGUAACGCGUGGGGAACCUGCCUUCAGAGGGGGAUAACGUUCUGAAAAGAACGCUAAUACCGCAUAACGUAUGUUUAUCGCAUGGUAGAUAUACCAAAGGAGCAAUCCGCUGAAAGAUGGCCCCGCGUCCGAUUAGAUAGUUGGUGAGGCAACGGCUCACCAAGUCGACGAUCGGUAGCCGGACUGAGAGGUUGAACGGCCACAUUGGGACUGAGACACGGCCCAGACUCCUACGGGAGGCAGCAGUGGGGGAUAUUGCACAAUGGGGGAAACCCUGAUGCAGCAACGCCGCGUGAGGGAAGAAGGUUUUCGGAUUGUAAACCUCUGUCCUUGGUGAAGAUAAUGACGGUAGCCGAGGAGGAAGCUCCGGCUAACUACGUGCCAGCAGCUGC